rfam:Beta vulgaris subsp. vulgaris Bvchr4_un.sca020.con0003.1, whole genome shotgun sequence.
ACACCAUGAUGAGGACAUUAACAUAGUAAAUCCUUAAACCUUUCCCACACCUCAUAUAAAGACCUCAUCAUAUUGUGCAAAACCAGUUAUGUCAUUUCUUAUUUU